rnacentral:rRNA from 1 species
GGCUGUUCGCCAUUUAAAGUGGUACGCGAGCUGGGUUUAGAACGUCGUGAGACAGUUCGGUCCCUAUCUGCCGCGGUCUCCUCCUAAAGAGUAACGGAGGAGUACGAAGGUGCGCUCAGACCGGUCGGAAAUCGGUCGCAGAGUAUAAAGGCAAAAGCGCGCUUGACUGCGAGACAGACACGUCGAGCAGGUACGAAAGUAGGUCUUAGUGAUCCGGUGGUUCUGUAUGGAAGGGCCAUCGCUCAACGGAUAAAAGGUACUCCGGGGAUAACAGGCUGAUACCGCCCAAGAGUUCAUAUCGACGGCGGUGUUUGGCACCUCGAUGUCGGCUCAUCACAUCCUGGGGCUGAAGCCGGUCCCAAGGGUAUGGCUGUUCGCCAUUUAAAGUGGUACGCGAGCUGGGUUUAGAACGUCGUGAGACAGUUCGGUCCCUAUCUGCCGUGGACGUUUGAGAUUUGAGAGGGGCUGCUCCUAGUACGAGAGGACCGGAGUGGACGAACCCCUGGCAUGCUUGAGGUUCUAACUCUGGUCCGUGAUCCGGAUCGAGGACAGUGUAUGGUGGGCAGUUUGACUGGGGCGGUCUCCUCCUAAAGAGUAACGGAGGAGUACGAAGGUGCGCCCAGCGCCCAAGAGUUCAUAUCGACGGCGGUGUUUGGCCCCUCGAUGUCGGCUCAUCACAUCCU